ensembl:lncRNA
GUGUGAAGAUGUUCAACACAGCUGUAUUUAGAAUAGGGGGAAGCUUUAAAAAAAAAAAAAAAUCUAAUUGCUCAUCAACACGGGAAUGGUAAGUUUCUGGACUUGAUCUCAAAUAUUAAGAAAUGCCCAUGGAAUGGAAUCUGGGAAUGGAAUGCUCUCAGGCAAGAAACAACUACAGCUGUCCCUCUGUAUCCACAGGGAUUGGUUCCAGGACCUCCCAGGGAUACCAAAAUCCAUGGACGUUCAAGUCCCUUGCAUAAAACAGCAAAGAAUUUGCAUAUGACCUACACACAUCCUCCCAUUUACUUUAAAUCAUCUCUAGAUUACUUAAAAAUACCCAAUAAAUGCUAUGUGAAUAGCUGCCAGCAAGUGGCAAUUCAAGCUUUGCUUUUUGGAAUUUUCUGGAAAAAAAUUUUUUUUUCAGAAUAUCUUUCAUUCACUGUUGGUUGAAUCCAUGGAUGCAGAACCCACAGAUAAGAAAGGUGACUGGAGAGGUCUUUUUCUGUACUCAAUAAAUGGUCUUCAUAUUUCUUAUUUUGUGAUUAUCCCCACUCAUUCAAGAGAAGGAGAAAAAAUCUGCAAGUGUCUAUUUAAAGGAAAAAAUGGUAUGAGAGAGAGGAAGUAAAGAGCAACUUGGCAACGAAUCUACUGUUUUUAAACAAGUCAAUAUUAAACAAACACAUCAAUUUUUACUCUAUUUUUCUCUUUGUAUACAAUUUUCAAUUAAUCUAUACCUGCCUUUCCAAUGUGUUCUUCAAAUG